rnacentral:rRNA from 1 species
CAGCAGCCGCGGUAAUACGAAGGGUGCAAGCGUUACUCGGAAUUACUGGGCGUAAAGCGUGCGUAGGUGGUGGUUUAAGUCCGUUGUGAAAGCCCUGGGCUCAACCUGGGAAUUGCAGUGGAUACUGGGUCACUAGAGUGUGGUAGAGGAUAGUGGAAUUUCCGGUGUAGCAGUGAAAUGCGUAGAGAUCGGAAGGAACAUCUGUGGCGAAGGCGACUAUCUGGGCCAACACUGACACUGAGGCACGAAAGCAUGGGGAGCAAACAGGAUUAGAUACCCGUGUAGUCCCUGUCUCUUAUAC